CGACGAGUUCUCGUUGAUGAUCGGUGCUUGCACCGAGAUUCAACAUGGAACGAGUGGCGGACGGGUGAGUAACACGUGGGUAACCUGCCCUUAAGUGGGGGAUAACAUUUGGAAACAGAUGCUAAUACCGCAUAGAUCCAAGAACCGCAUGGUUCUUGGCUGAAAGAUGGCGUAAGCUAUCGCUUUUGGAUGGACCCGCGGCGUAUUAGCUAGUUGGUGAGGUGAUGGCUCACCAAGGCGAUGAUACGUAGCCGAACUGAGAGGUUGAUCGGCCACAUUGGGACUGAGACACGGCCCAAACUCCUACGGGAGGCAGCAGUAGGGAAUCUUCCACAAUGGACGCAAGUCUGAUGGAGCAACGCCGCGUGAGUGAAGAAGGCUUUCGGGUCGUAAAACUCUGUUGUUGGAGAAGAAUGGUCGGCAGAGUAACUGUUGUCGGCGUGACGGUAUCCAACCAGAAAGCCACGGCUAACUACGUGCCAGCAGCCGCGGUAAUACGUAGGUGGCAAGCGUUAUCCGGAUUUAUUGGGCGUAAAGCGAGCGCAGGCGGUUUUUUAAGUCUGAUGUGAAAGCCCUCGGCUUAACCGAGGAAGCGCAUCGGAAACUGGGAAACUUGAGUGCAGAAGAGGACAGUGGAACUCCAUGUGUAGCGGUGAAAUGCGUAGAUAUAUGGAAGAACACCAGUGGCGAAGGCGGCUGUCUGGUCUGUAACUGACGCUGAGGCUCGAAAGCAUGGGUAGCGAACAGGAUUAGAUACCCUGGUAGUCCAUGCCGUAAACGAUGAAUGCUAGGUGUU
rnacentral:rRNA from 1 species